rnacentral:rRNA from 1 species
UAGCGUUGCUCGGAAUUACUGGGCGUAAAGGGCGCGUAGGCGGCCGCUCAAGUCAGGCGUGAAAUUCCCGGGCUCAACCUGGGGGCUGCGCUUGAGACUGGUUGGCUAGAGGCCGAGAGAGGGUGGUGGAAUUCCCAGUGUAGAGGUGAAAUUCGUAGAUAUUGGGAAGAACACCGGUGGCGAAGGCGGCCACCUGGCUCGGUACUGACGCUGAGGCGCGACAGCGUGGGGAGCAAACAGG